UAGUCUUUUCAACCACUCAGCCCUUUUCCAUAACAUGCCACAUUUACUCAUUCACACCUUAAUGGAAGAGGAUGCUGUACAGAGUGGCCAUCAGUACAUAGUUAUCCCAUUCCCAAACUGCUGGCUUUGCCACCACAAGCACUUUGGGGUUCAGUGUCUUGCCCAAGGACACUUUGACAUGUGGACAUCAGGAUCUGGGCUCAAAUCGCCAACCUUCAAAAUGAGAGAUCUCCGACUCAACUGAGCUACAGCUACCCCUGUGUGUCAUCUGCAAAGUUUUGAGAAGGAGAGCUGAAUGAGGACAAAGUCAACAUUUAUAGUCUCGCUGAAGACCAAUUCCCCUUGUCCAAGAAGGAGGAUCAGAGCCAGUAGCCAUGCUAGAACUACCAACAGUCAAAUCAGAGUGACUUUUUUAUCACUCCACAUAUUCAU